rnacentral:rRNA from 1 species
GACGAACGCUGGCGGCGUGCUUAACACAUGCAAGUCGAACGGAAAGGCCCUGCUUUUGUGGGGUGCUCGAGUGGCGAACGGGUGAGUAACACGUGAGUAACCUGCCCUUGACUUUGGUAUAACUUCAGGAAACUGGGGCUAAUACCGUAUAGGAGCUCCUGCUGCAUGGUGGGGGUUGGAAAGUUUCGGCGGUUGGGGAUGGACUCGCGGCUUAUCAGCUUGUUGGUGGGGUAGUGGCUUACCAAGGCUUUGACGGGUAGCCGGCCUGAGAGGGUGACCGGCAACAUGGGGACUGAGAUACGGCCCAGACGCGUACGGGAGGCAGCAGGGGGGAGUAUGGCACAAUGGGCGGAAGCCUGAUGCAGAAACGCCGCGUGCGGGAUGACGGCCUUCGGGUUGUAAACAGCUUUAGCCUGUGACGAAGCGUGAGUGACGGUAAUGGGUAAAGAAGCACCGGCUAACUACGUG